GAUGAACGCUGGCGGCGUGCCUAAUACAUGCAAGUCGAGCGAACAGAUGGGGAGCUUUCUCCUCUGACGUUAUCGGCGGUCGGGUGAGGACCAUGUGGUUAACCUAACUAUCAGACUGGGAUACCUUCGGGAAACCGUAUCUAAUACCGGAUAAUAUAUUGAACCUCAUGGUUCAAUAGUUAAAUUCGGUUUUGCUUUCACUUAUAGCUUACUACGCCCCGCAUUCGUUAGUUGUUAAGGUAACGGCUUACCAAGGCAACGAUGCGUAACCGACCUGAGAGGGUGAUCGGCCACACUGUAACUGAGACACAGUCCAGACUCCUACGGUAGGCAGCAGUAGGGAAUCUUCCGCGAUGGGCGAAAGCCUGACGGAGCAACGCCGCGUGAAUGAUGAAGGUCUUCGGAUCGUAAAGCUCUGUUAGUAGGGAAGAACAAAUGUGUAAGUAACUAUGCACGUCUUGACGGUACCUAAUCAGAAAGCCACGGCUAACUCCGUG
rnacentral:rRNA from 1 species